CUUCAGCGAGCCGAGCCGGAGCGGGCGGUCCGCGGCACGCCCCUGGCCGUAGGUGGCGAUGAUCGCCUGCGCCUC
rnacentral:antisense_RNA from 1 species